GCUGGGCUGGCGAGGAACCGGGACAAGUGGGGGAUGGGGCAGAAGAGUCAGAGAGGAGAGACAGGAAGUGUGGCCAUUGUUCUGAAUGUACUACGCCGUUUCUGAAGCAAUUGAAGUAGGUGCAGUGACUUCACAUUUUAAGAAGCUGUGUGUGCAGAGGACGCACAGGCAGAGAGGAGCACGAGGCAGGAAGGCUGCAUCCAACUGAAGUUAACUGGUCCUUUGUUGCUUCUCCAGUCUAAGCUCUGUGGAGGGACGUCAAGGCCAGAAUGGGAUCCAGAAGGGUGGAGGAUGGGGUUGCCUUAGUAGCAUGAAGGAUUGGUGGGAGGCAAGAAGAGCCGAAAGUUACUUUUUAAAUAAUUUGGCUCAUAUUUGAAUUUAUCUGAUUAGUAGAGCAAUGUCUGGCAUCCCUCCUGCUUGGAAGGCAGACUUCCCUUUUCCAGCCAAAUUCAGUAAGUUUCAGGUAAGGAACAGCUGGAACACGUGGCCUAAACGAUAUCUUCUCUCCGCAGUAAGGAGUAUGGGAGUUGGAGGGAAGGUGGGUUCGAAUCUCAAAUACAGCCCAGCCCCCUUCACUGGAGCAGAGCUGAAAGUGUUUUGAAACUCAAACCCUAAUUAGUAAUAAGGAAGACACUUUUGUCUGGGACACCCCCUCCCCAUUGUGCAAAGAUCUCUCUAGGACCUAAUAUGGUGGAAGGUGAUAGGCAACUGUAUGAAAAUAUGGGGAUAUGGAGUCCUGCCUAAAUGUAAUUCUUGAAGAAAAAGCGAAUAAUACAGAGGAACUAAACGUAGAGAAUUUGAAGAGGGAUGAUAGCAGCGAGGUACAAAAGGUAAAGUGGCAAGACUUGCAACCAGGUAGAUAUCAAGCAUGAAAAGAGGCAGAGAAAGCAGUUUCAGAGAAGGAAUUAAUGGGGAAAUGGCGAUUGCUUUAAUAGAAACAGAGGGGAAGGGAGAAGAUUCAGAGAUAAGAGAAAAGAGGUGAGUGAGUCCGAUUUUAAACAUGCUAAAACAAAAGCAUCUCCAUGACAUUCACCAGCACUUGGAAACAGAGGCUGGAGCUCCAGAGGGAGUUUGGCUUCUUGUCUCCACCCAUCCCUUCAGGCAGAGGUGAAGAUGGCUUCUCGUCUCCACCCACCCCUACAGCAGCAGAGGUGGAAGUUUUCCAUGUUCCCGUGCCAGAAAGAGGAACUAAGCCCCAGCUUUAACACACACAGUGGCUACAAGAAACAAACAACACAUCUAUUUUUCACAUUGACUGAUCUACCCCAAUGGGUUGGCAAUGUCUCUGUGUGUUAGAGAGCAAAGACCCAGCAUAAGUAAAUGCUGAACUAAGAGCUAAGGACUGCAACUGUAGAUGCUGUGAAGUUUGUUACAUGCAAUAAUGAAAAUGUCAGAUGCCACAUGGAUGAGGAACUUGGUACAUAAGAAACACAUGUUAUUUAACAAUCUGCCACUGAGUGAACAAAAAGCAGCUGAAAUCAAGCUAGAGGCAGCCAAGAACACACCACUGAAGUCAUUACAGAGCAAUACUAGGAUUGCCACGGGAGCAACAGUGCUGUGAUUCUUCCUCUGACAGAAGUCCAGAUCAAAGGAGAUGGACAAAGCAUGCAGAAAAACUGCUAAUAAAGGAAAAAAAAAGAAAAAAAGUACUCACUUAAAGCUAGUGAAUACAGUACAUAGGAUGGCAAGACAAAGAAAAAGAAGGGACAUCACUCCCCUCGAAGAUGUGCUUAUCUCUGGGCUUACCUUUGUGAUCCUCUUACUUGGUUGGCUAUGUCCUUUACAUCUUCCACUGACAGGGACAAUAACGUCCCAAAACAGUUUCCCAAGUGCCCUCAAGAGCAUGAAAAGGCUCCUCUUAGAGAGGGGUGCACCUACUCCAUGAGGGACAGAGUUGAGCACGCCAGACUUUAACAGGUGCAGAGGCCAGAGGUCGGAAAUCACAUGCCUAUAACAAAGGAAAUGUAGCUUCGAGCAAUUAUACAAAUUAAAACCAGGCAAAGCACAUGUGGGCACAGUAGAAAAGAAUAUGGGCUAAUUCAGCAGAAAACGUUUCACAGCAAAUGUUACAUUGUGGUGAUAAAUUUAAAUAUUAUGACAGUUUAGCCUUAGUUUUCUUAUCUGCAAAAUGGGAAUAAGACCACCUCUCUUAUAGGGCUGUUGUGAGAACUGCAGGGGAAAUAAAAUUUUGAUCAGAAGACCAACUGAGUAAAUUGACUCUAAUCUUAAAAGAAAACUAUGAUAUGUGAACAGUUGUAAGCUUUUAUUUAUUCAUUUAUUUAUUUUGGAAAUGGAAUUUUACUCUUGUUGCCCAGGCAGGAGUGCAAUGGUGUGAUCUCUGCUCAUUGCAACCUCCACCUCCUGGGUUGAAGCAAUUCUCCUGCCUCAGCCUCCUGAGUAGCUGGGAUUACAGGCAUGUGUCACCAUGCCUGGCUAAUUUUUUUUUGGAUUAUUACUAGAGACAGGGUUUCACCAUGUUGGCCAGGCUGGUCUUGAACUCCUGACCUCAUGUGAUCCACUCACCUUGGCCUCCCAAAGUGCUGGAAUUACAGGCGUGAGCCGCUGGGCCCACUCAAUUGUAAGCUUUUUAAGCUCACAUUUCAUGAGAAGUGAUAUAGGAGAACAGUUAGGAAUGUCUGUGUUAGCAUCCUGAGAAUGCAACUAGCUAUAUAAUCUGAGCAAGUUAAUAGCUCUGUGCCCCAUUGUUUUCAUAUAAAAAAUGGAUCUAAUAGAAAUAUGUUGGUCUUAGGUCUAUUUAGGAUUAAAUUAGGGAAUAUGAGUAACAUUCUUACAGUGGUAACAGGCAUAUGCAUAGCACAUGUUUAUUAAAUGUUAAUUAUUAUUAAUCGGAGAAGUAGCUCUAGGAAGUUUCCUAAAACUUCCUUACCUGAGCUACUAACUCUACAUAAAAAAAUGCUUUAUUAUUUUUGUGUUUUUAUUCUAGGAAUUGUCUGGAAUUUUUGUGGAAUCAUGAGAAAAUUUGAACACAAAUAUCUCCCGUGGACUAACUGAGCAAGAACUCAUUUAUCACCAAGGGGAUGGUGCCAAGCCAUUCAUGAGGGAUCUGCGCCUGUGAUCCGAACACCUUCCACUAGGCUCCACUUCCAACACUGGGAAUCACAUUUCAACAUGAGAGUUGGAGUUGACAAAUGUCCAAACCAUGUCUCCAUCCAACCAUCUAUACAGGAGCUAAAAAAACUGGAUCUCACAAAAGUAAAGAGCAGACUGAUGGUAACCAGAGGCUGUGAAUGGAAGGGGAAAGGGAAGGGAUGCAAGGGAAAAAAAGAAGGACAGGACUAAGAGAAAGGCAGAGAUUCAUGGCUUUUUAAAAUGGUAUUUAUGGUUAUUCCCUCCUCCACCUCAUCCCUAACUUACCGGAAGACAAAAUGACAUGGGAAGAAGAGGAAAGUUGUUAGAAGGGGAGCUCUAGACAGCCAGGAAAGCUGGAGUCACAAGUGGACAAGGAGACCCAUGGAAGCGACUCAUGAUAGAAAUGGUUCUCCUUUGGUCAUCUGCAAACUUUACCCAACAAUGGUAUCUCCUGGUAUCGUAUGAAAUAAAACCAGAAGUCUGGUAUUUUGGUCCCAGCUGUUAAGACUUCUGCCUGGAUUAAGCCUUCUUUUCCAUCUCUCUGAGGGGCCACCCUGCUCAGAUUUCUCACACUUGGGCAACCUGCCUUGAUAUGUGAAUCUUACUUAGGAAAACAGACAAUUUUCUCUGGUCACUAUCUCAGCCCACAAGGGAGAUUUAGCAUUUUUAGUCGACCCUCUUCUGCCACAAUCCUAGAAGCUUGCAAAUAUGAAUUUAUAUCUGUAGAUAUAUAUCAUCUAUCUAUCCACCCAUCCAUCUAUCUAAAUGUAUAUUCUAACUAUCACAAAUAUGUUUCCACUGUGUAAUUUUCGCAUAACAAUCUACACACAUAAAUAAGAUACACAUAGUAUUUCAGAACUCAUUUGAUUCACUGUGAAAUCUAAAGGUAGGGAAACCUUUACUGAGUGAAGGUUUCUCUUAAAAGCCAUCUCUCCCAAAACUAAUCCCAUCAAAAAAUGUAACAGACUAUAUCAAUUUUAACAACAGUAAUGAAUAUUUAUGGAAUGCUUAAUAAAUUAUUUAUUAUUUGAAAAACUGUUAUACACAGAACCUUUUAACACUAUGGGGAAAAUCUUACAAAUAAGCAUUAGUCAUCUUCCAUAUGCGUUAAGAGUAAGCUGUUUUGCAUGUGUUGCAAUUUACCUUUCCUCUAAAAAUAGAAUAAGAAAACUUUCAGGCUAAAGAUAACACUAAUGAAUAAUUAAAUAUACAAUAAGAAAUCUGUGGCUUUAAAAUACACUUUACAUGUAAUACAUGUACACAUUUAAUACAUCAUAAGAAUAUAAUCAAAAUACAUUAUUCUCAUCAGUCUGUAUAAAUUGAGGAUUUGUAGGGAAAGGGGAUGGUUCUCCCUGACCACCUCCCCAUCCUCAAUUUUUCUACACACUGUGCAUUAAUUGGUCUCCUCCAACUGGUAUCACUCUUCUUGAUAUCCCCAUUUCCUGUUUUCCAUCAAGAAGACAAGGCUUGGCAUUUAAUUAUUUUAUUAGUUCAUGUAAGUUAGUUACCCUGGAUAAAUGGUCAGUGUGACCUCAAAUGUGCAACAGAUUCUUAAACAGGCUGGGGAGAAGCAGCAGAGACGAAAAGAAAGAGUAAAAUAAUGUUUGACAAAAUAACAAGAAAAUUCAGUGAUUUUCCAUAGUGAAGGAGGCGUUCAAGGCCUAUAGACUUGGAAACUGCUUUCCAGAUAUCAAAGAACAAGAUGAACUCCACAACUACUAAAACUGCAACAUGUACAGGAAAAUCAGAAUAGAGACCAGAGUGCAGUGACAUUAUUCUCAUGUAGAAAUAAAAUCCUUUGGAAUAUGCAUUAUAAAAGCAUAGAGCUCCUUCAGGUCCAGAAUUCCAAAAAUCUAUGCAUCAUCUUAUAAGAAUAGGGACCACUUGCCAGGUGUGGUGGCUUAUGCCUGUAAUUCCAGCAAUUUGAGAGGCCAAAGCAGGAGGAUCGCUUGAGCCCAUUAGUUCAAGACCAGGUUGGACAACGUAGUGAGACCCCAUCUCUACAAAAAAUUAAAAAUUCACCAGGUGUGGUGGUGAAUGCCUAUAGUGCCAGCUACUUGGGAGGCUGAGGCGGGAGGAUAGCUUGAACUCAGGGGGUCAAGACUGCAGUGAGCUAUGAUGGCACCACUACACUCCAGCUUGGGUGAGAGAGACCCUGUAUCAAAAAAAAAGAAAAAG
rnacentral:lncRNA from 10 species